rnacentral:rRNA from 1 species
AACGAACGCUGGCGGCAUGCCUAACACAUGCAAGUCGAACGAGACCUUCGGGUCUAGUGGCGCACGGGUGCGUAACGCGUGGGAACCUGCCCUUAGGUUCGGAAUAACUCCCCGAAAGGGGUGCUAAUACCGGAUAAUGUCUUCGGACCAAAGAUUUAUCGCCUUUGGAUGGGCCCGCGUUGGAUUAGCUAGUUGGUAGGGUAAAAGCCUACCAAGGCGAGGAUCCAUAGCUGGUCUGGGAGGAUGAUCAGCCACACUGGGACUGAGACACGGCCCAGACUCCUGCGGGAGGAAGCAGUGGGGAAUAUUGGACAAUGGGCGAAAGCCUGAUCCAGCAAUGCCGCGUGAGUGAUGAAGGCCUUAGGGUUGUAAAGCUCUUUUACCCGGGAUGAUAAUGACAGUACCGGGAGAAUAAGCUCCGGCUAACUCCGUG